rnacentral:tRNA from 2 species
GGGGAGGUUCCAGAGUGGCUAAACGGGGCAGACUGUAAAUCUGUUGGCUAACGCCUUCGAUGGUUCGAACCCAUCCCUCCCCACCA